rnacentral:rRNA from 1 species
GGAUUAGAUACCCUGGUAGUCCACGCCCUAAACGAUGAACACUAGCCGUAGGUAUUGAUAGAUAUGUGUGGCGUAGCUAACGCGAGAAGUGUUCCGCCUGGGGAUUACGACCGCAAGGUUAAAACUCAAAGGAAUUGACGGGGGCCCGCACAAGCGGUGGAGCAUGUGGUUUAAUUCGAUGCAACGCGAAGAACCUUACCUACUCUUGACGACCGUCGAAUUGGCGUGAAAGCGCUGAGUGCUUCGGCAAGACGAGACAGGUGCUGCAUGGCUGUCGUCAGCUCGUGCCG